AGGAUCAGCUCAGAUUAAGCUUCACAGCGGACUGAACAUCGAGCUGCGCUUUCUCCCCGUGGCCAGUGGGUGGGGCUUGUGAAGAAGUCUUGUAUGUUACAAAAGGAACCUACAUUUUCUCUGCACCUUUGAGCUCAAAACUGCAAGGGAAAGACCACCUGGGCAGUCGGGGGGGGCCCUUCGGAGGCGGGACUUCCCGGCAUGCGGAGCUCCCCUUCUCAAGGAACGGCUUCCCCUCCCGCCUCCGCCGUAUCACGUCUCAGGGGCACUGACAGAAACAGAUUCUUGCCCCGCAGCCCAGGCUGAUGGACUCCCCGUUUCCCGAGCCUGCCAUGGCUUCCACGGACUCCUGAUGAAGAGUCCCUGAGCCUGGCCGAGGCUCUGCUGCUCCGAGCGCCGGUGGAGCUCCUGCUGGCUUCCAUUUUUAAAGGGAACAUGCACUGCU